UGAGAAUUAGUUUAAUAAAAACUUUUAUUUGUCAAGUAAAAAAUAGCUAGCUAUUCUCAA
rnacentral:tRNA from 1 species